CGGAGCGUAGUAUAAUGGUAGUAUUUAUGCUUUGGGAGCAUAAGGCCCGAGUUCGAUUCUCGGCGCUCCGACAA
rnacentral:tRNA from 2 species